CGACGUAUGCAAUCUACCUUUCACAGAGGGAUAGCCCAGAGAAAUUUGGAUUAAUACCUCAUAGCAUAACGACCUGGCAUCAGGAUGUUAUUAAAGUCACAACGGUGAAAGAUGAGCAUGCGUCCCAUUAGCUAGUUGGUAAGGUAACGGCUUACCAAGGCUACGAUGGGUAGGGGUCCUGAGAGGGAGAUCCCCCACACUGGUACUGAGACACGGACCAG
rnacentral:rRNA from 1 species